GACGAACGCUGGCGGCGUGCCUAAUACAUGCAAGUCGAACGCACAGUUUAUACCGUAGCUUGCUACACCAUAGACUGUGAGUUGCGAACGGGUGAGUAACGCGUAGGUAACCUGCCUGGUAGCGGGGGAUAACUAUUGGAAACGAUAGCUAAUACCGCAUAAUAUUAAUUAUUGCAUGAUAAUUAAUUGAAAGGUGCAAUUGCACCACUACCAGAUGGACCUGCGUUGUAUUAGCUAGUAGGUGAGGUAACGGCUCACCUAGGCGACGAUACAUAGCCGACCUGAGAGGGUGAUCGGCCACACUGGGACUGAGACACGGCCCAGACUCCUACGGGAGGCAGCAGUAGGGAAUCUUCGGCAAUGGACGAAAGUCUGACCGAGAAACGCCGCGUGAGUGAAGAAGGGUGUCGGAUCGUAAAGCUCUGUUGUAAGAGAAGAACGGGUGUGAGAGUGGAAAGUUCACACUGUGACGGUAUCUUACCAGAAAGGGACGGCUAACUACGUG
rnacentral:rRNA from 1 species